rnacentral:lncRNA from 1 species
CUUGGCAGUUGAGAUUCAGACCUUGACAGUUGUAACCGAUAGACUGGGCUGGGGCAACGCUGAUGAAAGGCAAAUUCCUGAGAGAAAAAUCACCCAGAUUUUUCAGUGCCUUCUCUAGCUUUCUAGAAGUUGUUAUGAGUGGACCUGACUACCUAGAGAGAGUAAUACAGAAGCUCCGUGCCGAUCACAGCUACCUCAUUACCAUGUUCCUCCAAGAUGGCCGCCCCUGAGGAGAAUCAUCAACUGGGCUUUACGGAAGAGAGAAAUCCAAACGACCAUCAGCAACAAAUGAAAGACUGAAGUUGAAAGGCAAGUCUUCAGAUUUGAAUUUCAAGAUUGUCAAGAAUGACGAGUUGGACUUGGUCUAGUUACUUCCACAGCAGCAGGAGGAACAUGUGUGUGACUCAGGAUAACUGGGGAAGCCUUGGCUAGGCUUUCCUCAUGUCAACCUACCACUCAAAGGGAGAAAACCUCCUGAUCAGAGGUGCCCAGAACCCAGGAAAUCCAUAAUUUUUGAAUGCUGGCCGAGGUCUGUGACCUCUGACUGAAUGGUUUCCAAGCUCCGAAUUCCUAGGUGAUGUUUUCAUUUGUUCACACUUGCUGAAGAAGGGAAAGGCUCUCUGAUUUACGUGUAAGCAAAACAAUCUAAACAGUAGGAUAAAAUCAUGUUGGAAUGGAGUUCUGUGUGGAUGCUCCUUUGAACCAAAUCAGUUCCACAACUGACCCUGUCAGGGACAUAUAAAUUUAGCAUUUUGGUGUGGAUACAGAAGACGAGAUUAACACAGAUCAAGUAACAUGGAAAUAAAAAAGGAGACAAUGCUGGAUGAUACAGGGGCAGCCAACAAGAGGAGAAAACCCAAGCAUUGGCAAAUGCCUCAUUAUCCAAAGAACACUGGGCCUCAGAGUAUGUCAGCUGGGGUCAGACGGGAACAGGAGUCUGGCUCAACACACAUUUAUUGCACUCCUGUUUCAUGCCAAGAAAUGUACCAAAAUCUGGGACUGUGUAACACAGCAAAGGAAAAGACUCAUCUCCAGGAAGCCCCCUUGUCUAGGAAGAGAAAUUGAAUAUCAGCAUAAGGUGGUGAAAAGCUGUGAAGGAGAUGAGUGCCAGGAGUCCAUGGAGGAAGGAUUCUAGCCUGGACAGAGUCUCCAUGAAUUGCAAGGGAAAACAAGUGGUACACUGGUAUUUCUAUUUGAUAACCUGUUCUCUUUGGAAUUCCGGUUAGAAAUCAAAGGCUUACUUGAGUUUUAAUGCUUUCGGGACUUCAAAUGCUUUUCUAUCUUCCUAAUAAUAUAUUAACAUUUUCUGAAGACAACAUAUAUGUGGAAAACAACAUUAUUUACUCAAAUAAUUUUUUUUGAAAAAUGGACCAAAAAAAAAGAAAAA